AUUGAACGCUGGCGGCAGGCUUAACACAUGCAAGUCGAGCGGAAACGAUGAAAAGCUUGCUUUUCAGGCGUCGAGCGGCGGACGGGUGAGUAAUGCUUGGGAAUAUGCCUUAUGGUGGGGGACAACAGUUGGAAACGACUGCUAAUACCGCAUAACGUCUACGGACCAAAGGGGGGGAUCUUCGGACCUCUCGCCAUUUGAUUAGCCCAAGUGAGAUUAGCUAGUAGGUGAGGUAAAGGCUCACCUAGGCGACGAUCUCUAGCUGGUUUGAGAGGAUGAUCAGCCACACUGGGGACUGAGACACGGCCCAGACUCCUACGGGAGGCAGCAGUGGGGAAUAUUGCACAAUGGGGGAAACCCUGAUGCAGCCAUGCCGCGUGUGUGAAGAAGGCCUUCGGGUUGUAAAGCACUUUCAGUUGUGAGGAAAGGGAUGUAGUUAAUAACUGCAUUCUGUGACGUUAACAACAGAAGAAGCACCGGCUAACUUCGU
rnacentral:rRNA from 1 species